CUAAGUACAUACCUUUAAACGGUGAAACCGCGAAUGGCUCAUUAAAUCAGCUAUGGUUCCUUGGAUCGUAUCUACUACAUGGAUAACUGUGGUAAUUCUAGAGCUAAUACAUGCCAUUAUGCCCUGCCCCGCGAGGGAACGGGUGGAUUUAUUAGAACAGAACCAACCGGUAGCCGCCUGGUUACCGUUGCAAUCUGUGAUGACUCUGGAUAACUUCUCUGAUCGCAGUCGGCCGUGAGCUGGCGACGGAUCCUUCAAAUGUCUGCUCUAUCAAUUGUCGAUGGUAGGUGACCUGCCUACCAUGGUGAUAACGGGUAACGGGGAAUCAGGGUUCGAUUCCGGAGAGGGAGCCUGAGAAACGGCUACCACUUCCAAGGAAGGCAGCAGGCGCGCAAAUUACCCAAUCCCGGCACGGGGAGGUAGUGACGAAAAAUACAGAUACGGGACUCACUUGAGGCUCCGUAAUUUGAAUGAGUACAAUUUAAAUCCUUUAACGAGGAUCAACUGGAGGGCAAGUCUGGUGCCAGCAGCCGCGGUAACUCCAGCUCCAGUAGCGUAUAUUAAAGUUGUUGCAGUUAAAAAGCUCGUAGUUGGAUCUGGGUCGUAUUGCUGCGUGCCGUUGCUUACAUCGUUGUCCUGGUCACGACUGGGGCACGCUUGUAAGUCGGAGUCGUGGCGGUACAGCCUUUCUGCUGUGUCUGUUUCGACAGGUGCCGACAGAUUCUCUGCCGGCAUGCUUCCAGAUGCCUUUAAACGGGUGUCGGGAGCGGACAGCGCGUUUACUUUGAACAAAUUUGAGUGCUCAAAGCAGGCUUAUGCCUGAAAAUUCUAGCAUGGAAUAAUGAAAUAGGACUUCGGUUCUAUUUUGUUGGUUUUCGGAUCCGAAGUAAUGGUUAAGAGGGACAGACGGGGGCAUUUGUAUGACGGUGUUAGAGGUGAAAUUCUUGGAUCACCGCCAGACAAACUACAGCGAAAGCAUUUGCCAAGGAUGUUUUCAUUGAUCUGGAGCGAAAGUCAGAGGUUCGAAGACGAUCAGAUACCGUCCUAGUUCUGACCAUAAACGAUGCCAACUGACGAUCCGUGGGGUACGUUUCAAUAGCCCCGCGGGCAGUCCCCGGGAAACCUUUAAGUCUUUGGGCUCCGGGGGAAGUAUGGUUGCAAAGCUGAAACUUAAAGGAAUUGACGGAAGGGCACCACCAGGAGUGGAGCCUGCGGUUUAAUUCGACUCAACACGGGAAAACUCACCCGGCCCGGACACUGUGAGGAUUGACAGAUUGAUAGCUCUUUCUUGAUUCGGUGGUUGGUGGUGCAUGGCCGUUCUUAGUUGGUGGAGCGAUUUGUCUGGUUAAUUCCGAUAACGAACGAGACUCUAGCCUGCUAAAUAGUAUGCCUGUCCUCUGUACUCGUGCGGGUGGCGAUGGCUGCGCCUUCGUGGUAAUGUCACCGUUGCCGGCGGGUACUACGCAGGUGUCUACUUCUUAGAGGGACAAGCGGCGUGUCAGUCGCGCGAAAAUGAGCAAUAACAGGUCUGUGAUGCCCUUAGAUGUCCGGGGCCACACGUGCGCUACAAUGACGGUUUCAGCGAGUGUCAACUUCUGGCCCGAGAGGGUUGGACAAACUGUACCAUAACCGUCGUGACUGGGAUCGGGGCUUGCAACUAUUCCCCGUGAACGAGGAAUUCCUGGUAAGUGCGAGUCAUAAGCUCGCGCUGAUUACGUCCCUGCCCUUUGUACACACCGCCCGUCGCUACUACCGAUUGAGUGGUUUAGUGAGGUCCUCGGAUCAGCGCCAUUGUAGUCGCAUCUUCGCGGCUCGACCGUCGCUGAGAAGACGACCAAACUUGAUCAUUUAUAGGAAGUAAAAGUCGUAACAAGGUUUCCGUAGGUGAACCUGCGGAAGGAUCAUU
rnacentral:rRNA from 1 species